UACGUAGGGGGCAAGCGUUGUCCGGAAUGAUUGGGCGUAAAGGGCGCGUAGGCGGCCUGUUAAGUCUGGAGUGAAAGUCCUGCUUUCAAGGUGGGAAGUGCUUUGGAAACUGGCGGGCUGGAGUGCAGGAGAGGUUAGCGGAAUUCCCGGUGUAGCGGUGAAAUGCGUAGAGAUCGGGAGGAACACCAGUGGCGAAGGCGGCUAACUGGACUGUAACUGACGCUGAGGCGCGAAAGUGUGGGGAGCAAACAGGAUUAGAUACCCUGGUAGUCCACACUGUAAACGAUGAAUGCUAGGUGUAGGGGGUAUCGACCCCUUCUGUGCCGGAGUAAACACAAUAAGCAUUCCGCCUGGGGAGUACGGCCGCAAGGUUGAA
rnacentral:rRNA from 1 species